rnacentral:tRNA from 2 species
GCAUCCGUAGCUCAGGGGAUAGAGCAGCGGUUUCCUAAACCGCGUGUCGGGGGUUCGAGUCCCUCCGGGUGCACCA